rnacentral:rRNA from 1 species
AGAGUUUGAUCCUGGCUCAGGAUGAACGCUGGCGGCGUGCCUAAUACAUGCAAGUCGAACGCCUUACCCAAGUAAUGAGUGGCGAACGGGUGAGUAAGACAUAAGCAACCUAGCCUCAAGAGGGGGAUAACUAUUGGAAACGAUAGCUAAGACCGCAUAGGUGUAACUCUCGCAUGAGAGAGACAUUAAAUAUCCUUUCGGGGAUAGCUAGAGGAUGGGCUUAUGACGCAUUAGCUAGUUGGUGAGGUAGAGGCUCACCAAGGCGACGAUGCGUAGCCGGCCUGAGAGGGUGGACGGCCACACUGGGACUGAGACACGGCCCAGACUCCUACGGGAGGCAGCAGUAGGGAAUUUUCGGCAAUGGGCGAAAGCCUGACCGAGCAACGCCGCGUGAGGGAGGAAGUCAUUCGUGAUGUAAACCUCUGUUAUAAAGGAAGAAACGCCUGGAUAGGAAAUGAUACAGGCUUGACGGUACUUUAUGAGGAAGCCACGGCUAACUACGUGCCAGCAGCCGCGGUAAUACGUAGGUGGCGAGCGUUAUCCGGAAUCAUUGGGCGUAAAGAGGGAGCAGGCGGCAGCUAGGGUCUGCGGUGAAAGACCGAAGCUAAACUUCGGUAAGCCGUGGAAACCGAGCAGCUAGAGAGCAGCAGAGGAUCGUGGAAUUCCAUGUGUAGCGGUGAAAUGCGUAGAUAUAUGGAGGAACACCAGUGGCGAAGGCGACGAUCUGGGCUGCAACUGACGCUCAGUCCCGAAAGCGUGGGGAGCAAAUAGGAUUAGAUACCCUAGUAGUCCACGCCGUAAACGAU